rnacentral:lncRNA from 1 species
AUGCCUCCUACUUGUGUGAACAGCGCAGAUAACUUCUGCUAUAUUUGUGGUGAAGUGACUUUUGCAUCACAAAAGCGCAGUAUAACCACUAUGGUUAAGAAAGCCUAUCACCUUUAUUUUGGCUGCAAAAUUGGAGAUCAGGACAAGAGGUGGGCCCCACACACAUGCUGCAACACUUGUGCAACAAAUCUUCGCCAGUGGUUGAACAGGAAAAGGAAAUCUAUGCCUUUUGCAGUGCCAAUGAUUUGGNCUAUUUCAGCAGCUUUGCAAGCAGCGCAUGCCUGCCCACAAGCUUCAGAUGCUAUGUUGCAUCAGUUGAAAAGGUAAAAUGAAGAAGCGGCUGGAUAACAGGGCUCACUCUUUCAGGUUUUAUAUUUGAGUUCUCUUUUGGAUCCAUUUUCCAGCAGGGUCCCUGCAUUUCCUCUUCACAUUCCUGCCCUGGUCUCCUGUUUUUUUGAGUGGAUAGUAUCUUUUAUUCCCUUUUCUAUUUCAAUUGUAAUUUCUCAAUCUAUUAAAUGAAAUCUGAGUUUAAUACAAAGUAUGUUAAGCCCUAAAUUUAAAAUAAUCUCAAACAUUUUAAUAAAUGUACUGAAUCCAUAAGUUUCUGUCA